UCUCUGGCAGGUGAUGGAGUUCACCUUAAGCAAUCGCUUUAAACCGCACUCAUGCUAAUGACUCCUGCUACAAU
rnacentral:ncRNA from 2 species